rnacentral:rRNA from 1 species
UACGUAGGGUGCAAGCGUUGUCCGGAAUUAUUGGGCGUAAAGAGCGUGUAGGCGGCUUGGUAGGUCUCGCGUCAAAACCUGAGGCUCAACCUCAGUUCGCGUGGGAAACCACCUAGCUAGAGUCCGGAAGAGGAGAACGGAAUUCCCAGUGUAGCGGUGAAAUGCGCAGAUAUUGGGAAGAACACCAGUGGCGAAGGCGGUUCUCUGGGACGGUACUGACGCUGAGACGCGAAAGCGUGGGGAGCGAACAGG